CCUCUCCCCGUCCAGGUUUGCUGUACUGGCCAACAAGCUCAACAAUUGUUAUUGCUGCAUAAGCAUAAGUGGUCAGGGAAUCCAUACAGCAACAACUACCAAAUUCUGCCCUAGCUGAACCAGAAGCACUGAAAGCUACAGCUACUGCAUAUUGGUAUGUGAAGUGUCACAGAACAUUCUGGUGUGGAAGGGAUCCACAAGGGUCAUGGAGUCCAGCUCUGAAGUGACAGCCUCUCUGGGGAUCAAAUACACAGCCUUGGCCUUAUUAGUACCAUGCUCUGACCAACUGAGCUAAUCUCAGCAGCACAGAGCAAGAUGGAAAAUGGUACCAAACUGUAACCUGCUGCUGGGCAAGUGAAGAUGUUCCUUUCUUAUCAGAUCCUCUUUGUGGGGAAGAAUAAUGCCAUACUUCACUCAGGAUUUCAUUCGACCGCAAUCAAUAUAGGAUGUGUAAGGAGGAGUUUUUGAAGCUAAAUACCUUUUAGUUCCCUUCAACUUUGUGUAUAAAUUCCUAUACAAAACCAAUUAAAAUCUUUGCUGUCUUGAAAUUAUAGUUUCCAUUACUGUACUCAACACAGUGUUUUAUCAUCUCACACUAUAAACCUCUAAACAGGAAUAAUCCUGCAAGAAGACAGCACUCUGGGAGGCUUCUGAUGGAAAAAUAAAUGCCUAGUUGCAAGUGAAUGCA
rnacentral:lncRNA from 1 species